AAUUUUCGAGUGGAAAAUUUUUUUGAAAUUUUUUUCUGAUUUUUUAUUCUUUUUUUAAUUUAAAGCACUAUUUAAGUGAAAAGAAACUUAUUGCAACAAAUUCCCAUCAAAAUAUAUCACAUUUAAAAUUUUUGCUACAUGGCUCAAAAAUGAGGAAAAUUUUACAUUUUCUCAAACAGGGUAAGGAACUUGGUUCCUCGAAUAACUUCUGGCACAGACAUCUAAGGGCAUGGCUGUCCAAGAAGAAAAUGUAGCCAUUGGUGCCAUCUAUCGACCACAGGAUAAAGAUUGGCGAUCCGUUGGAUACCGACCGAGUUAUAGGCAAAAUUUGGUGCAAAAAUGAGAAAAAUUUUCAUUUUUUUUUAAUUUUUUGAUUUUUUUAAAUUAUUUUUCACUCUUUUUUUUAUUUCAAGCAUUAUUAGAGUGAAAAGAAACUCAUUGCAACCCAUUGGCAUUAAAAUAAAACAAUUUAAUUUUUUUUGCAAAAUUUCCCAAAAAAAUCGUAAGGGGUAAGCCUUAUGAAAUUUUCGAGUGGAAAAUUUUUUUGAAAUUUUUUUCUGAUUUUUUAUUCUUUUUUUAAUUUAAAGCACUAUUUAAGUGAAAAGAAACUUAUUGCAACCAAUUCCCAUCAAAAUAUAUCACAUUUAAAAUUUUUGCUACAUUGCUCAAAAAUGAGGAAAAUUUUACAUUUUCUCAAACAGGGUAAGGAACUUGGUUCCUCGUAUAACUUCUGGCACAGACAUCUAAGGGCAUGGCUGUCCAAGAAGAAAAUGUAGCCAUUGACACCAUCUAUCGACCACAGGAUAAAGAUUGGCGAUCUGUUGGAUACCGACCGAGUUAUAGGCAAAACUUGGUGCAAAAAUGAGGAAAAUUCUACAUUUUCUCAAACAGGGUAAAGAACUUGGUUCUUCGUAUAACUUCUGACACAGACAUCUGAGGGCAUGGCUGUCCAAGAAGAAAAUGUAGCCAUUGACACCAUCUAUCGACCACAGGAUAAAGAUUGGCGAUCCGUUGGAUACCGACCGAGUUAUAGGCAAAACUUGGUGCAAAAAUGAGGAAAAUUUUACAUUUUCUCAAACAGGGUAAGGAACUUGGUUCUUCGUAUAACUUCUGACACAGACAUCUGAGGGCAUGGCUGUCCAAGAAGAAAAUGUAGCCAUUGACACCAUCUAUCGACCACAGGAUAAAGAUUGGCGAUCCGUUGGAUACCGACCGAGUUAUAGGCAAAACUUGGUGCAAAAAUGAGGAAAAUUUUACAUUUUCUCAAACAGGGUAUGGAACUUGGUUCCUCGAAUAACUUCUGGCACAGACAUCUGAGGGCAUGGCUGUCCAAGAAGAAAAUGUAGCCAUUGGUGCCAUCUAUCGACCACAGGUUAAAGAUUGGCGAUCCGUUGGAUACCGACCGAGUUAUAGGCAAAACUUGGUGCAAAAAUGAGGAAAAUUUUACAUUUUCUCAAACAGGGUAUGGAACUUGGUUCCUCGAAUAACUUCUGGCACAGACAUCUGAGGGCAUGGCUGUCCAAGAAGAAAAUGUAGCCAUUGAUACCAUCUAUCGACCACAGGUUAAAGUUUGGCGAUCCGUUGGAUACCGACCGAGUUAUAGGCAAAACUUGGUGCAAAAAUUGAGAAAAAAUUUCAUUUUUUUUUAAUUUUUUGAUUUUUUUUAUUAUUUUUCACUCUUUUUUUUAUUUCAAGCAUUAUUAGAGUGAAAAGAAACUCAUUGCAACCCAUUGGCAUUAAAAUAAAACAAUUUAAUUUUUUUUGCAAAAUUUCCCAAAAAAAUCGUAAGGGGUAAGCCUUAUGAAAUUUUCGAGUGGAAAAAUUUUUUGAAAUUUUUUUCUGAUUUUUUAUUCUUUUUUUAAUUUAAAGCACUAUUUAAGUGAAAAGAAACUUAUUGCAACAAAUUCCCAUCAAAAUAUAUCACAUUUAAAAUUUUUGCUACAUUGCUCAAAAAUGAGGAAAAUUUUACAUUUUCUCAAACAGGGUAAGGAACUUGGUUCCUCGAAUAACUUCUGGCACAGACAUCUGAGGGCAUGGCUGUCCAAGAAGAAAAUGUAGCCAUUGGUGCCAUCUAUCGACCACAGGUUAAAGUUUGGCGAUCCGUUGGAUACCGACCGAGUUAUAGGCAAAACUUGGUGCAAAAAUGAGGAAAAUUUUACAUUUUCUCAAACAGGGUAUGGAACUUGGUUCCUCGAAUAACUUCUGGCACAGACAUCUGAGGGCAUGGCUGUCCAAGAAGAAAAUGUAGCCAUUGACACCAUCUAUCGACCACAGGAUAAAGAUUGGCGAUCCGUUGGAUACCGACCGAGUUAUAGGCAAAACUUGGUGCAAAAAUGAGGAAAAUUUUACAUUUUCUCAAACAGGGUAAGGAACUUGGUUCUUCGUAUAACUUCUGACACAGACAUCUGAGGGCAUGGCUGUCCAAGAAGAAAAUGUAGCCAUUGACACCAUCUAUCGACCACAGGUUAAAGAUUGGCGAUCCGUUGGAUACCGACCGAGUUAUAGGCAAAAUUUGGUGCAAAAAUGAGAAAAAUUUUCAUUUUUUUUUAAUUUUUUGAUUUUUUUUAUUAUUUUUCACUCUUUUUUUUAUUUCAAGCAUUAUAUGAGUGAAAAGAAACUCAAUGCAACCCAUUGGCAUUAAAAUAAAACAAUUUAAUUUUUUUUGCAAAAUUUCCCAAAAAAAUCGUAAGGGGUAAGCCUUAUGAAAUUUUCGAAUGGAAAAUUUUUUUGAAAUUUUUUUCUGAUUUUUUAUUCUUUUUUUAAUUUAAAGCACUAUUUAAGUGAAAAGAAACUUAUUGCAACAAAUUCCCAUCAAAAAAUAUCACAUUUAAAAUUUUUGCUACAUUGCUCAAAAAUGAGGAAAAUUUUACAUUUUCUCAAACAGGGUAAGGAACUUGGUUCCUCGAAUAACUUCUGGCACAGACAUCUGAGGGCAUGGCUGUCCAAGAAGAAAAUGUAGCCAUUGGUGCCAUCUAUCGACCACAGGUUAAAGAUUGGCGAUCCGUUGGAUACCGACCGAGUUAUAGGCAAAAUUUGGUGCAAAAAUGAGGAAAAUUUUACAUUUUCUCAAACAGGGUAAGGAACUUGGUUCCUCGAAUAACUUCUGGCACAGACAUCUGAGGGCAUGGCUGUCCAAGAAGAAAAUGUAGCCAUUGGUGCCAUCUAUCGACCACAGGUUAAAGUUUGGCGAUCCGUUGGAUACCGACCGAGUUAUAGGCAAAACUUGGUGCAAAAAUGAAGAAAAUUUUACAUUUUCUCAAACAGGGUAUGGAACUUGGUUCCUCGAAUAACUUCUGGCACAGACAUCUGAGGGCAUGGCUGUCCAAGAAGAAAAUGUAGCCAUUGGUGCCAUCUAUCGACCACAGGUUAAAGAUUGGCGAUCCGUUGGAUACCGACCGAGUUAUAGGCAAAACUUGGUGCAAAAAUGAGAAAAAUUUUCAUUUUUUUUUAAUUUUUUGAUUGUUUUUAUUAUUUUUCACUCUUUUUUUUAUUUCAAGCAUUAUUAGAGUGAAAAGAAACUCAUUGCAACCCAUUGGCAUUAAAAUAAAACAAUUUAAUUUUUUUUGCAAAAUUUCCCAAAAAAAUCGUAAGGGGUAAGCCUUAUGAAAUUUUCGAGUGGAAAAAUUUUUUGAAAUUUUUUUCUGAUUUUUUAUUCUUUUUUUAAUUUAAAGCACUAUUUAAGUGAAAAGAAACUUAUUGCAACAAAUUCCCAUCAAAAUAUAUCACAUUUAAAAUUUUUGCUACAUUGCUCAAAAAUGAGGAAAAUUUUACAUUUUCUCAAACAGGGUAAGGAACUUGGUUCCUCGAAUAACUUCUGGCACAGACAUCUGAGGGCAUGGCUGUCCAAGAAGAAAAUGUAGCCAUUGGUGCCAUCUAUCGACCACAGGUUAAAGAUUGGUGAUCCGUUGGAUACCAACCGAGUUAUAGGCAAAAUUUGGUGCAAAAAUGAAGAAAAUUUUACAUUUUCUCAAACAGGGUAAGGAACUUGGUUCCUCGAAUAACUUCUGGCACAGACAUCUGAGGGCAUGGCUGUCCAAGAAGAAAAUGUAGCCAUUGGUGCCAUCUAUCGACCACAGGUUAAAGAUUGGCAAUCCGUUGGAUACCGUCCGAGUUAUAGGCAAAACUUGGUGCAAAAAUGAGGAAAAUUUUACAUUUUCUCAAACAGGGUAUGGAACUUGGUUCCUCGAAUAACUUCUGGCACAGACAUCUGAGGGCAUGGCUGUCCAAGAAGAAAAUGUAGCCAUUGGUGCCAUCUAUCGACCACAGGUUAAAGAUUGGCGAUCCGUUGGAUACUGACCGAGUUAUAGGCAAAACUUGGUGCAAAAAUGAGAAAAAUUUUCAUUUUUUUUUAAAUUUUUUGAUUUUUUUUAUUAUUUUUCACUCUUUUUUUUAUUUCAAGCAUUAUUAGAGUGAAAAGAAACUCAUUGCAACCCAUUGGCAUUAAAAUAAAACAAUUUAAUUUUUUUUGCAAAAUUUCCCAAAAAAAUCGUAAGGGGUAAGCCUUAUGAAAUUUUCGAGUGGAAAAAUUUUUUGAAAUUUUUUUCUGAUUUUUUAUUCUUUUUUUAAUUUAAAGCACUAUUUAAGUGAAAAGAAACUUAUUGCAACAAAUUCCCAUCAAAAUAUAUCACAUUUAAAAUUUUUGCUACAUUGCUCAAAAAUGAGGAAAAUUUUACAUUUUCUCAAACAGGGUAAGGAACUUGGUUCCUCGAAUAACUUCUGGCACAGACAUCUGAGGGCAUGGCUGUCCAAGAGGAAAAUGUAGCCAUUGGUGCCAUCUAUCGACCACAGGUUAAAGUUUGGAGAUUCGUUGGAUACCGACCGAGUUAUAGUCAAAACUUGGUGCAAAAAUGAGGAAAAUUUUACAUUUUCUCAAACAGGGUAAGGAACUUGGUUCCUCGAAUAACUUCUGGCACAGACAUCUGAGGGCAUGGCUGUCCAAGAAGAAAAUGUAGCCAUUGGUGCCAUCUAUCGACCACAGGAUAAAGUUUGGCGAUCCGUUGGAUACCGACCGAGUUAUAGGCAAAACUUGGUGCAAAAAUGAAGAAAAUUUUACAUUUUCUCAAACAGGGUAUGGAACUUGGUUCCUCGUAUAACUUCUGGCACAGACAUCUGAGGGCAUGGCUGUCCAAGAAGAAAAUGUAGCCAUUGGUGCCAUCUAUCGACCACAGGUUAAAGUUUGGCGAUCCGUUGGAUACCGACCGAGUUAUAGGCAAAAUUUGGUGCAAAAAUGAGAAAAAUUUUCAUUUUUUUUAAUUUUUUGAUUUUUUUUAUUAUUUUUCACUUUUUUU